AACGAACGCUGGCGGCAGGCUUAACACAUGCAAGUCGAACGGGUGCAGCAAUGCAUCAGUGGCAGACGGGUGAGUAACACGUGGGAACCUUCCUAGGGGUACGGAACAACUCAGGGAAACUUGAGCUAAUACCGUAUACGUCCGUGAGGAGAAAGAUUUAUCGCCCUUAGACGGGCCCGCGUCGGAUUAGCUAGUUGGUGGGGUAACGGCCUACCAAGGCGACGAUCCGUAGCUGAUCUUAGAGGAUGAUCAGCCACACUGGGACUGAGACACGGCCCAGACUCCUACGGGAGGCAGCAGUGGGGAAUCUUGGACAAUGGGCGCAAGCCUGAUCCAGCCAUGCCGCGUGAGUGAAGAAGGUCUUCGGAUUGUAAAGCUCAUUUGCCAGGGACGAUAAUGACGGUACCUGGAGAAUAAGCCCCGGCAAACUUCGUGCCAGCAGCCGCCGUAA
rnacentral:rRNA from 1 species